UGGGGAAUAUUGCACAAUGGAGGGAACUCUGAUGCAGCGACGCCGCGUGAACGAAGAAGGCUUUCGAGUCGUAAAGUUCUUUUAUAUGGGAAGAUAAUGACGGUACCAUAAGAAAAAGCCCCUGCUAACUACGUGCCAGCAGCCGCGGUAAUACGUAGGGGGCUAGCGUUGUCCGGAAUCACUGGGCGUAAAGGGUUCGCAGGCGGAAAUGCAAGUCAGGUGUAAAAGGCAGUAGCUUAACUACUGUAAGCAUUUGAAACUGCAUAUCUUGAGAAGAGUAGAGGUAAGUGGAAUUUUUAGUGUAGCAGUGAAAUGCGUAGAUAUUAAAAAGAAUACCGGUGGCGAAGGCGACUUACUGGGCUCAUUCUGACGCUGAGGAACGAAAGCGUGGGUAGCAAACAGG
rnacentral:rRNA from 1 species